rnacentral:rRNA from 1 species
AUUGAACGCUGGCGGCAGGCCUAACACAUGCAAGUCGAACGAGUGGCGGACGGGUGAGUAAUGUCUGGGAAAAUGCCCGAUGGAGGGGGAUAACUACUGGAAACGGUAGCUAAUACCGCAUACCAUCGGAUGUGCCCAGAUGGGAUUAGCUAGUAGGUGGGGUAACGGCUUACCUAGGCAACGAUCCCUAGCUGGUCUGAGAGGAUGACCAGCCACACUGGAACUGGGCCCCGGCCCAGACCCCUACGGGAGGCAGCAGUGGGGAAUAUUGCACAAUGGGCGCAAGCCUGAUGCAGCCAGGCCGCGUGUAUGAAGAAGGCUUUCGGGUUGUAAAGUACUUUCAGCGAGGAGGCGUUACUCGCAGAAGAAGCACCGGCUAACUCCGUGCCAGCAGCCGCGGUAAUUC